AGCCCUGUGGUGUCCACAUAUUAGAUUGCAAAUCUAAAGUAGCAGAUUGAUUUCUGCCGGGGCUU
rnacentral:tRNA from 1 species